UACGGGGGGGGCAAGCGUUGUUCGGAAUUACUGGGCGUAAAGGGCUCGUAGGCGGCCAACUAAGUCAGACGUGAAAUCCCUCGGCUUAACCGAGGAACUGCGUCCGAUACUGGAUGGCUUGAGUUUGGGAGAGGGAUGCGGAAUUCCAGGUGUAGCGGUGAAAUGCGUAGAUAUCUGGAGGAACACCGGUGGCGAAGGCGGCAUCCUGGACCAACACUGACGCUGAGUGAGCGAAAGCCAGGGGAGCAAACGGG
rnacentral:rRNA from 1 species